rnacentral:rRNA from 1 species
UACGUAGGAGGCAAGCGUUGUCCGGAAUUACUGGGCGUAAAGCGCGUGUAGGUGGUGGGACAAGUCUGCUGUGAAAGCGCCUGGCUUAACCGGGCGAGGUCGGCGGAAACUGUCGCACUCGAGGACGGUAGAGGGGGGUGGAAUUCCCGGUGUAGUGGUGAAAUUCGUAGAUAUUCGGAAGAACACCAGUGGCGAAGGCGGCUCACUGGCCCGGUACUGACGCUGAUGUGCGAAAGCGUGGGGAGCAAACAGG